UCCUCUAUUAUACCCAAUGGCCAAUUAA
rnacentral:sRNA from 1 species